rnacentral:rRNA from 1 species
CCUACGGGAGGCAGCAGUGGGGGAAUCUUGCGCAAUGGGCGAAAGCCUGACGCAGCCAUGCCGCGUGAAUGAUGAAGGUCUUAGGAUUGUAAAAUUCUUUUCACCGGGGACGAUAAUGACGGUACCCGGAGAAGAAGCCCCGGCUAACUUCGUGCCAGCAGCCGCGGUAAUACGAAGGGGGGCUAGCGUUGCUCGGAAUUACUGGGCGUAAAGGGAGCGUAGGCGGAUAGUUUAGUCAGAGGUGAAAGCCCAGGGCUCAACCUUGGAAUUGCCUUUGAUACUGGCUAUCUUGAGUAUGGGAGAGGUUAGCGGAACUCCGAGUGUAGAGGUGAAAUUCGUAGAUAUUCGGAAGAACACCAGUGGCGAAGGCGGCUAACUGGCCCAUUACUGACGCUGAGGCUCGAAAGCGUGGGGAGCAAACAGGAUUAGAUACCCUGGUAGUCCACGCCGUAAACGAUGAGUGCUAGUUGUCGGCAUGCAUGCAUGUCGGUGACGCAGCUAACGCAUUAAGCACUCCGCCUGGGGAGUACGGUCGCAAGAUAAAACUCAAANAGAGUAGACGCGNGAGACGNGACGAGACGACGACGAGGGAGAG